GCCUCGUGGAUCAGUGGCGAACGGGUGAGUAACACGUGAGUAACCUGCCCUCCACUCUGGGAUAAGCGCUGGAAACGGCGUCUAAUACUGGAUACGACCGACCCUCGCAUGGGGUGUUGGUGGAAAGAUUUAUCGGUGGUGGAUGGACUCGCGGCCUAUCAGCUUGUUGGUGGGGUAAUGGCCUACCAAGGCGACGACGGGUAGCCGGCCUGAGAGGGCGACCGGCCACACUGGGACUGAGACACGGCCCAGACUCCUACGGGAGGCAGCAGUGGGGAAUAUUGCACAAUGGGCGAAAGCCUGAUGCAGCGACGCCGCGUGAGGAAUGACGGCCUUCGGGUUGUAAACCUCUUUCAGCAGGGAAGAAGCUUUUGUGACGGUACCUGCAGAAGAAGCACCGGCUAACUACGUGCCAGCAGCCGCGGUAAUACGUAGGGUGCGAGCGUUGUCCGGAAUUAUUGGGCGUAAAGAGCUUGUAGGCGGUUUGUCGCGUCUGCUGUGAAAAUUCAGGGCUUAACCCUGGAC
rnacentral:rRNA from 1 species